rnacentral:rRNA from 1 species
GACGUAGGUGGCGAGCGUUAUCCGGAAUCAUUGGGCGUAAAGAGUUCGUAGGUGGUUUGUUAAGUUGGAUGUCAAAUCUUUGAGCUCAACUCAAAGUAGGUGUCCAAAACUGGCAGACUAGAGACAGGUAGAGGUAGGUAGAAUUCUGUAUGUAGGGGUAAUAUCCGUAGAUAUACAGAGGAAUACCAAAAGCGAAGGCAGCCUACUGGACCUGUUCUGACACUCAAGGACGAAAGCGUGGGGAGCAAACGGG